ensembl:lncRNA
ACCCAGGAAUCUCGUCAGUUUCCUGAGUUCACUGGUCACACCAGUUUAGCUGGUUUCCUGAAACCUUGCGCUACUCAAGCAAAUUAAUAGAAACCAAGAACAGGGGUCCUUGGAGCCCCAGAUGUAUAUCCUGUGGGUCAUAAACACAGGUUUCUGGCUGUGGAAAAGCCUGCUUCCUCUUUGCUGAGUGGUGCCACCUCCCAGAGUGUUGAUCUGCUUUGGCCUCAGAGUCCUCCUCUGUAAAAUGGGAAGGCUGGUCCCUGCCUUGCAGAAUUAAGCACACUACUGAAUACGCAGCAGAAAACCAGCAUCAUGAAAAAACAGCUUGUCCUCAGCCAGCAGGCUCUCAUGCUUGAACAUCUGAAAGUUCUCCAUUCACAUACUGUUGAAGCCUAGACAAACAACAACAACAGCAAAAAUCACACUGCAAAUGAAUCUGUGACAUACAUAACCC